GUCUCUUCUCGCAUUCCAUACCGCAUGUGGUCUUUUUUGACAAUUACACUCGGCUAGUGAUCCUUUUGGACAAAUUUUUUGCUAAUUUGUGUCAUACACUUAAAUAUCUUGUGAUAUUUCUCAAGUAAGUUUGUGUAACUUACUUGUGCUUGUGGGUAAUCUUGUUGUGCUCAUCUUAGUAGAACAUGUUGUUGGUGCACGUAGUUGAUCCUAGUAUAUUUAGGAUCUGUUCUUGAAAAAUAUCAUCUUAGUUUAUUUCCACAUUAGGAUAAAGCUGAAUCCAUAGAAGUUUUUAAAUCGCCUAUUCACCCCCCUCUAGGUGAGAGCGUGGUCCUUUCAGCUAUUGUAUGAUAUCUUUACGUGCCUCGUCGAUUGGGAGCGCAUGAGCGGUGGUAGCUGGGAGCGGCGGUCUUGUUCCACUUCUUUUGACUCGGAUCUUGUCGCCUCAGAGACUGCAGAGGGUUAAAUCUAAUCGAUUAGUUGUGCUCAUGGUUACGGGAAAUUUGAGCAAAUGGAAACUUGGACGGGAGAAGAAUCUCCCCUCUCUCUUUUCAAAGUUUUUUUUAAAAUGGUUAUAGGUUGAGGUUAAGCACAAGGUGUGUUUUACUUCACAUCCACUUGUAAAGAUUUGAAGAGUGAACCUUGGUGCAUCUAUCCAAGUAUUCAUGUAGUUUAUGUUUCAAACAUACAUUUAUCAAAAGUCAAAUGCUUUUCCUUCAUAGUUUAGGAAAAAAAUGGCUUUCCGCAAACAAACCAACCCUGACAACCUCUUGACUACCCAGCGUAAUAUUAUUUUAUCACUUUUUUUGUAACCUGCGAGUACAUUCAUAGUACUUACUUGUACGGAUCAUGUGAAAAUGGCGAUACUAUUGAGUGACCAGAUAGGGCUACGGAGGUACACUCAACUUGCAUUGUGGCGAUUGAUGGGCUCAAGAUUAUUAUUAUGGUAUUUGCUUCCACCAUGUAACCUAGCCUUCAACUCAGAGAGUUGUAAUGAAUUAAUCUUUGCAUCUUCUAUGUAAUAAAAUGACGCUUGUUCUUGAUAUUCUUUUUUGUACCGGGUGUGCUAGCUUUUGAUCCAGGGAUAGCACAUAAAUAUAAGAAGAUUUGGACCUUAUCGGUUCAAAUCGUUACAACCUUAUAGGUCCGAGUGAGGGGUGCGACGAUCCAAUUGAUGGAGCACCCAUGAUGAGCUACUACACAUUGUGGGUGGGUGUGUUAGAGUCCGGGUUGGAAAGAAGAGUGCGCAUGUAAGAUGACACGAUUGUCAACCAAAUAUCGAUAAUAAAUGUACUUUGGAAGUAUGAACAUGUUACUACCGUGGGUACACGACAUAGUACUACCGAGGGUACAUGUUAUUUGGUAGCGGUUAAUCAAUUCCGAGCCUACUUAAGACAUGAGAGAGCAAGCCCUUUUCUCAAGCAAUGCUACAACACCGAACAACUCACCUUGAGCAAACUUCCCACCUCAAUGUUUAGAUAUACUAGUCUGGUUUCCUUAGUAGAAUCCACCUUCCAACUAUAAGCAGGCUUGAGAGGCAACAACAACAUGCACACAUGAGUGUCGUGUGUCACCAAUGCAACCCUAUGUAUUGUCAAUUGUGCUAGUGACCUUGUUUCCCCAAAGAGAACCAACCCUAUGACACGGAUGCAUUCUCAUGUAUAGGUUUGUCUAGUACUUUCGGUACUAUGUUAGCAAUCACGAGCUAGCUGGUUCAAUUUCUUUUGUUCGAAAUUGUGUUUGUAUUCAAAUAGACAGUUUAUGAUUUGCAGCCUCAAAGACAUUUAUUUAAAUCAAAUCGGUCCAUAUUCAACUGCCUUUUGUUAUGUUAUUUUAAAUUGUGGACGAGUUAAUGGAAAGUAACAAAUAUGUAGCACUAAUCCAAAUAAAAAGCGGCAAUCUAAUUUGGCUUCCGGGCGCAAAAAAUAUUUUGGAAAUGUUUUAAAAAUCCCAACAUUUUUAUGCAUUUAUAGUCACAUUCAAAUGCUACCUGCAAACUUUUACGCAAAAAGAUUAAACGUUUGGGCAUAUGCCAAAGAAAAAAAUAAAUACGAACACCAAAUGUUACCUAUUUUUUUUUCUUCAAUGACCUACUGCUUCGUUUCGCAUGAAAAUUUUCAAGCAUGCUUACGACACUAAUAUGAACAUCCACAAAAAAAUUCAGAGUUUUUGUAAACAAUUUACCACUUCUUUUUCGUUACUAUUCAUCCACGAGGAAAUACUCCCGGGAGCUAAAACGCCCCUCCCAAUAAAAAAGAUACUAUUUCUUGCUAGAGGUAACUUUGGAGCUUUCAUUAAAGUGACAGGUUGGGAAGCAUCAAUAUUUAUCAAAGAUACAGAAACAAGCUUUCUCCCCUUAAUAUUUGUAUAUCAAAUUAGUCCUACUCACAUGUCACGGAUGAAAGGUGGAUACUAAUUGUAGGCCUUGUUGACCCACGUAACGGGGUGUAUGGGGCCAAUUGAGCAUGGAUAGAGGGUUUUAUUAUGUCUAAUGUUGAUGCAAGUUUCCAUGUGAAUUCUGCCUCAUAAAGUAGUUGGGAACGACACAAGAAGAUUUUUGCAGUUGAUGGCGCUACAACGCAAGCCAUGUCCGUUAUGAGAGGAGUUGAAUUGGCAACUGAAUUGGGUCCUCACCGUAUCAUAUUCAAUGAAUUGUUUACAAGUUAUUGAACACUUUAGGUGUGAGAUUUCUCUUCAACGGUCUGCCCCCCAUUUUAUGAGGAUAUUUGUGUCCAGGCCUCAUGUUUCAACACAGUAAUAUUUAUCAUCUACUCCCUCCAUUAAUUCCUAAAUAUAAGUCUUUUAAGAGAUUUAACUAUAGACUAGAUACGGAGGAAAAUGAAUGAAUCUAUAUUUUAAAGUAUAUCUAUAUACACUCGUAUGUAGUCUUGAAUUGAAUCUUUAAGAAAACUUAUAUUUACAAACAGAACGAGUAUAAUAGGGAUGCCAAUGUGUUAUGUAUUUCUUGAGACGUGGUGCUCCGGUACAGGGGAGGGUGAUGGACCGUAGCGAUCGCCGGUGUGUACCGGUGUAUGCUUGGAUCAUGGUCGGUGGCUGCUGCUCAGUGACGACCGGCUAAAAUUGCGGUGGAGUGGCUGGCUAAAACUAAAUAACCAUAACACGUGCACAUACAACGGUGAGUCUGGUGUUCGAGGCAUGCGUAGAAGAUGGGUCCAUGAGGAGGGAGAAGAGAUGAAAUGGAUAUGCUUUCGUGCGGUCAUCGACUAAUUGAAAGGGCAUGUGAGCGCACGUAGUGUGUGUGUGUGUGUGGAGCCGAUUAAUGGAGCAUCCAUGAUGAGAUGGCAACAACAACCGUUGGUUGUGGCUGGGUGCAUUGGGUUUUUGUUUGGAAAGUACCAUGUACAUACAUAUCUGUGAAUUUACUUGGGAAGUAAGUAUUACCGAG
rnacentral:lncRNA from 1 species